rnacentral:rRNA from 1 species
CCUACGGGGGGCUGCAGUAGGGAAUCUUCCACAAUGGGCGAAAGCCUGAUGGAGCAACGCCGCGUGGGUGAAGAAGGUCUUCGGAUCGUAAACCUCUUUUGUCGGGGAGCAAAAGACGCCACGCGUGGCGUUCCGAGAGUACCCGAAGAAAAAGCAUCGGCUAACUCCGUGCCAGCAGCCGCGGUAAUACGGAGGAUGCGAGCGUUAUCCGGAUUUAUGGGGUUUAAAGGGUGCGCAGGCGGAAGAGCAAGUCAGCGGUAAAAUUGAGAGGCUCAACCUCUUCGAGCCGUUGAAACUGGUUUUAUUGAGUGAGUGAGAAGUAUGCGGGAUGCGUGGUGUAGCGGUGAAAUGCAUAGAUAUCACGCAGAACUCCGAUUGCGAAGGCAGCAUACCGGCGCUCAACUGACGCUCAUGCACGAAAGUGUGGGUAUCGAACAGGAUUAGAUACCCCAGUAGUC